AAGAAUAGCAGAGAAAUUUGGAUUAAUGUUAUAAAUUUUAAAACGAUGGUUUUAAUUUAAAGUCGGGGUAUAAGAUGAGUAUGGUGAUAUUAGUUAGUUGGUGAGGUAAGGUACAAGACUACGAUAUCUAGGGGGUCUGAGAGGACUAUCCCCCACACUGGUACUGAGACACGGACCAGACUCCUACGGGAGGCAGCAGUGAGGAAUAUUGGGCAAUGGAGGCAACUCUGACCCAGCCAUGCCGCGUGAAGGAAGAAGGUCUUAUGGAUUGUAAACUUCUUUUAUUUGGGAAGAAACCUAUCUACGUGUAGAUAGCUGACGGUACCAAACGAAUAAGGACCGGUUAACUCCGUGCCAGCAGCCGCGGUAAUACGGAGGGUCCAAGCGUUAUCCGGAAUCAUUGGGUUUAAAGGGUGCGCAGGCGGUUUAUUAAGUCAGUGGUGAAAUCUCGGGGCUCAACUCCCGAAACUGCCAUUGAUACUGAUAAACUUGAGUUCAGUUGGAGUAGGCGGAAUGUGUAGUGUAGCGGUGAAAUGCUUAGAUAUUACACAGAACACCGAUAGCGAAGGCAGCUUACUAAACGAUACGACGCUGAGGCACGAAAGCGUGGGGAGCGAACAGGAUUAGAUACCCUGGUAGUCCACGCCCGUAAACUAUGAUUACUCGAUAUUGGCGAUAUACAGUCAGUGUCUAAGCGAAAGUGAUAAGUAAUCCACCUGGGGAGUACGUCGCAAGAUUGAAACUCAAAGGAAUUGACGGGGGGCCCGCACAAGCGGUGGAGCAUGUGGUUUAAUUCCAUGAUACGCGAGGAAACCUUACCAGGACUUAAAUGUAGACUGACAGACUUGGAAACCAGUCUUCCUUUCGGGCAUUCACAAAGGUGACGCAUGGGCUGUCGUC
rnacentral:rRNA from 1 species